GAAAGAUGAAAAGCACUUUGAAAAGAGAGUUAAACAGUAUGUGAAAUUGUUGAAAGGGAAGCGCUUGCAACCAGACUUGAGCGCGGCGGUUCCCCCUUGCUUCUGCUUGGGUUACUCCGCCGUGUCCAGGCCAACAUCGGUUCUGGGGGUCGGUCAAAGGCUCUGGGACUCCCAUCGGUCAAAUUCUCAUCCAAACUUGCCUCGGUCUGAGUCGAAUACCAGCAAAGUGUCCAAAUCAAGCCAGUGCAGAUGGCAAGGUCCGCGGUCAACCAGUGACGCAACAUCAAUUUCCGAGGAGAAACCGAAGUCUUCGAUGACAAGCAGGCUCAUGAAGCAGGUGUCGAAACUAGUAAAUGCGCGGAGUAGGAAUGAACUGACGACAAAAGACAUCGUCGUCGCUGCAAUGUCCGAAUCAGAUAAUCCCGUCGCGUGUGUAAGAUGGGAAUUGAUCGGUAGGUUGACGCUGGCGAGCGUGUUGGCGUAAUGGUUGUCAGCGACCCGUCUUGAAACACGG
rnacentral:ncRNA from 1 species